GACGGAGGAUGCAAGUGUUAUCCGGAAUCACUGGGCGUAAAGCGUCUGUAGGUGGUUCGAAAAGUCCACUGUUGAAAAUUGAGGCUUAACUUCAAAGAUGCCGUGGAAACUUUCAAACUAGAGUAUGGUAGGGGUAGAGGGAAUUUCCAGUGGAGCGGUGAAAUGCGUAGAUAUUGGAAAGACCACCGAUGGCGAAGGCACUCUACUGGGCCAUUACUGACACUGAGAGACGAAAGCUAGGGGAGCGAAUGGG
rnacentral:rRNA from 1 species